rnacentral:rRNA from 1 species
UGGGGAAUAUUGCGCAAUGGGGGGAACCCUGACGCAGCCAUGCCGCGUGAAUGAAGAAGGCCUUCGGGUUGCAAAGUUCUUUCGGUAUUGAGGAAGGUUGAUGUGUUAAUAGCACAUCAAAUUGACGUUAAAUACAGAAGAAGCACCGGCUAACUCCGUGCCAGCAGCCGCGGUAAUACGGAGGGUGCGAGCGUUAAUCGGAAUAACUGGGCGUAAAGGGCACGCAGGCGGUUAUUUAAGUGAGGUGUGAAAGCCCCGGGCUUAACCUGGGAAUUGCAUUUCAGACUGGGUAACUAGAGUACUUUAGGGAGGGGUAGAAUUCCACGUGUAGCGGUGAAAUGCGUAGAGAUGUGGAGGAAUACCGAAGGCGAAGGCAGCCCCUUGGGAAUGUACUGACGCUCAUGUGCGAAAGCGUGGGGAGCAAACAGGAUUAGAUACCCUGGUAGUCCACGCUGUAAACGCUGUCGAUUUGGGGGUUGGGGUUUAACUCUGGCGCCCGUAGCUAACGUGAUAAAUCGACCGCCUGGGGAGUACGGCCGCAAGGUUA